rnacentral:rRNA from 1 species
AGAGUUUGAUCAUGGCUCAGAUUGAACGCUAGCGGGAUGCUUUACACAUGCAAGUCGAACGGGGUGAGGGGGCAACCUCUCAUUCAGUGGCGAACGGGUGAGUAAUGCAUCGGAACGUGUCCCGUAGUGGGGGAUAACGCCGCGAAAGCGGCGCUAAUACCGCAUACGCUCUGUGGAGGAAAGCAGGGGACCCGCGAGGGCCUUGUGCUAGGGGGGCGGCCGAUGUCCGAUUAGCUUGUUGGUGGGGUAAUGGCCUACCAAGGCAACGAUCGGUAGCUGGUCUGAGAGGAUGAUCAGCCACACUGGGACUGAGACACGGCCCAGACUCCUACGGGAGGCAGCAGUGGGGAAUUUUGGACAAUGGGGGCAACCCUGAUCCAGCCAUGCCGCGUGCGGGAAGAAGGCCUUCGGGUUGUAAACCGCUUUUAGCCGGGAAGAAAAGGCAGAGGCCAAUACCUUCUGUUUUUGACGGUACCGGCGGAAUAAGCACCGGCUAACUACGUGCCAGCAGCCGCGGUAAUAC